GAUGAACGCUGGCGGCGUGCCUAAUACAUGCAAGUCGAGCGAACGGACGAGAAGCUUGCUUCUCUGAUGUUAGCGGCGGACGGGUGAGUAACACGUGGAUAACCUACCUAUAAGACUGGGAUAACUUCGGGAAACCGGAGCUAAUACCGGAUAAUAUUUUGAACCGCAUGGUUCAAAAGUGAAAGACGGUCUUUCUGUCACUUAUAGAUGGAUCCCCGCUGCAUUAGCUAGUUGGUAAGGUAACGGCUUACCAAGGCAACGAUGCAUAGACGACCGGAGAGGGGGAUCGGCCACACGGGAACUGAGACACGGUCCAGACUCCUACGGGAGGCAGCAGUAGGGAAUCUUCCGCAAUGGGCGAAAGCCUGACGGAGCAACGCCGCGUGAGUGAUGAAGGUCUUCGGAUCGUAAAACUCUGUUAUUAGGGAAGAACAUAUGUGUAAGUAACUGUGCACAUCUUGACGGUACCUAAUCAGAAAGCCACGGCUAACUACGUG
rnacentral:rRNA from 1 species